AGAGGUUGGGGUUAGAUACGCUGGGAUACGUACAUAGAGGUUGGGGUUAGAUACGCUGGGAUACGUACAUAGAGGUUGGGGUUAGAGACACUGGGCUACGUACAUAGAGGUUGGGGUUAGAUACACUGGGAUACGUACACAGAGGUUGGGCUUAGAGACACUGGGCUACGUACACAGAGGUUGGGGUUAGAGACACUGGGCUACGUACAUAGAGGUUGGGGUCAGAGACACUGGGCUACGUACAUAGAGGUUGGGGUCAGAGACACUGGGAUACGUACACAGAGGUUGGGGUUAGAUACACUGGGAUACGUACACAGAGGUUGGGGUUAGAUACACUGGGAUACGCACACAGAGGUUGGGGUUAGAUACACUGGGAUACGUACAUAGAGAUUGGGGUUAGAUACACUGGGCUACGUACAUAGAGAUUGGGGUUAGAUACGCUGGGAUACGUACAUAGAGAUUGGGGUUAGAUACGCUGGGAUACGUACAUAGAGGUUGGGGUUAGAUACGCUGGGAUACGUACAUAGAGGUUGGGGUUAGAUACACUGGGAUACGUACAUAGAGGUUGGGGUUAGAUACACUGGGAUACGUACAUAGAAGUUGGGGUUAGAUACAC